GUCCCGCAAGGGACAAUUGAGUGGCAAACGGGUGAGUAACACGUGGGUGACCUGCCUUCGAGUGGGGGAUAACGUCCCGAAAGGGACGCUAAUACCGCAUGACAUCCUGCCUUUGGACAGGCGGAGAUCAAAGCCGGGGAUCGCAAGACCUGGCGCUUGAUGAGGGGCCCGCGUCUGGUUAGCUAGUUGGUGAGGUAACGGCUCACCAAGGCGACGAUCAGUAUCCGGCCUGAGAGGGCGGACGGACACACUGGGACUGAGACACGGCCCAGACUCCUACGGGAGGCAGCAGUGGGGAAUUGUUCGCAAUGGGCGCAAGCCUGACGACGCAACGCCACGUGGAGGACGAAGAUCUUCGGGUCGUAAACUCCUGUCGAGUGGAAAGAAUAAUUCGGGGACGAAUACUCCCCGGAAUUGACGGUACCACUAAAGGAAGCCCCGGCUAACUCCGUGCCAGCAGCCGCGGUAAUACGGGGGGGGCAAGCGUUGUUCGGAAUUACUGGGCGUAAAGGGCUCGUAGGCGGCCAACUAAGUCAGACGUGAAAUCCCCAGGCUCAACCUGGGAACUGCGUCUGAUACUGGAUGGCUUGAAUUCGGGAGAGGGAUGCAGAAUUCCAGGUGUAGCGGUGAAAUGCGUAGAUAUCUGGAGGAAUACCGGUGGCGAAGGCGGCAUCCUGGACCGACAUUGACGCUGAGGAGCGAAAGCUAGGGGAGCAAACGGGAUUAGAUACCCCGGUAGUCCUAGCCC
rnacentral:rRNA from 1 species